GCGGUCUCUGCAUACAAGGCACAAAUCCUUGGUUUGGCAUUAUCUUCUAUGGACCAUAUGGUUUAGAAGCAUUGGGCACCGUCAACAACCAAAUUAUUUGCUUGAUUGGUCAUCCAAGAUAGAAUUUGGACUGCCAAUAGGCUUGUUAAACGAGGGUGGACAAAUUAUGGACUUUGCCCCCUUUGCAAAAGGGAACACGAAAGUGGGCCGCACCUAUUCUACAAAUGUCGGUUUUUCUUGCGUCUUUGGAAUCUAGUCAUUGGAAAACUACAUCUUGAGAAGUUGGACACUUCUACUUAGCACCUGGAUGACUCCAUGAAGGAUUGGUGGGAAAAACAUACCGCAACCGGCACACCUCAUCAUAAAGCUAUGUCAUCGCUAACCAUGCUAGUGUGGUGGUCAACUUGGAACAAAAGGAACGUAAGGGUAUUUCGUCAAAAAAGUGUUCCACCACCUAUAUUACUCGACGCUAUUAUUUCGGAAGCAAACCUUUGCGUCGUUGCCGAUGCUAAGAAUUGUUUUUUGAAUAGGAGGAUAGCCCUCGGCCUCUGCAUCCGAAAAAUGCAUGCCGCUAUAUUAUUAAAGCAGUUGCAGCAAAAAACAAGGUCUGGUAUCCGAGUACAGCUCGCAAAAGGACUAAAGAUAAAUAAAAACUAA
rnacentral:rRNA from 1 species